CCUACGGGCGGCAGCAGUGAGGAAUAUUGGUCAAUGGGCGUAAGCCUGAACCAGCCAAGUCGCGUGAGGGAUGAAGGUUCUAUGGAUCGUAAACCUCUUUUAUAAGGGAAUAAAGUGUGGGACGUGUCCUAUUUUGUAUGUACCUUAUGAAUAAGGAUCGGCUAACUCCGUGCCAGCGGCCGCGGUAAUACGGAGGAUCCGGGCUUUAUCCGGAUUUAUUGGGUUUAAAGGGUGCGUAGGCGGCGUUUUAAGUCAGCGGGGAAAGUCGGUGGCUCAAACAUAGAAUUGCCGUUGAAACUGGGGGGCUUGAGUAUGUGAGAGGCAGGCGGAAUGCGUGGUGUAGCGGUGAAAUGCUUAGAUAUCACGCAGAACCCCGAUUGCGAAGGCAGCCUGCCAGGCCAUGACUGACGCUGAGGCACGAAAGCGUGGGGAUCAAACAGGAUUAGAUACCCUUGUAGUC
rnacentral:rRNA from 1 species